AUGGGACCCACCUCCCAUAAAGGUAUGGACCUCCUAGGGGCUGGCCCAUCUUCUUUGCCCACCUUACUUGGGGAAAGGAAGCCUCAUUUUCCCCUACCGUACCGAAAGAAAGUAAAGUCUGCGCCUCCCUUUCAGAAGUUUUCUCCUCGUCCCCUUGCCCACACACGGGACAAACCGAGGCUCAGGGUUUCACGGCGGUCUGAGGGGGUUCGGGUGUCCGGGUUGAGCUGCGGGUGGUGGCCAGGCAGCCGGGAUUCCCGAGCAACGCGGAUGGGUGAGCGCCCCCUAGGGUCUGGUCAGCGGGCAUGGGCAGGAAAGUGGCUGGUGCGGGCGGGAGGGCUGUGGCCGAGGAGCUUCCGGGAGCCGGGGCAGGGGCACUUCCCGGCGGAGCUUGCCGCCCGCAGCGCUGGGCCGCGCAGACUUUAAGAAACAAUAUACAACCAACACACGGAAAAGUGCAUAGAUCCCGAGUCCCACCAAACCACUUUUCACAAGCUCUCUUGUGCAACCUGCAUCAGGAACAGUAAGUCUAUGAUGUAUGCUACUUGAAGUAUAACAUCCUGUCAAAAAGGCAGACUGUGAAUUGUUUAUCCAUUUCACUGAAGGACAUGGUUGUUUUCAGCUUUGGCCUGUUGUGAGUAGCGUGACUUUAGUGCCUUUGUUCAGUUUGACUAUUUAGUACACAGCAGCUUCCCAACAUAGCUAUGCUUGGGACCAGAGCAAAGGCUCAGUGGUUAAAAGCACUGACCACUGUUUCAGAGGACCCUGGAUCAGUCUCCUUACCCACAGAGUGGCUUACAAAAAUUUGUAACUCUGGUUCCAGGUGAUCAGUGCCCUCUCUGGCCACUACAGGCACGUGGCAUGAAAGCGAUACAUAGACUUACGCACAGGCAAAACAUCCAUACACAGAAACUAACGUUUUGUUUUUUAAGUUAAAAAUAAAAGUUGUUCUUGCUAGCUAGCUACCUCAGCAGACACCUGUGAUCUCAGCACUCUGGUGGAGAUGAGAAGACAUAAGUGCAGGGCCAGCCUGGGCUAUCAGACCUUAUCUCAAAACAAAGCAAGCAAACCAACAGAAGUUACAGGAGUCACUCCCAGCCUGGUGUCAGCUCCCACUGUUCCAUGUCCUCAUCGGGCUCCAGCCAGUGUCCUCCUCUGUCAGUGUCAGCUGUUCUGCUGACUGCACAGCUUUGAAGCCCGGAGGUUCCAAUUUGCAUUUUUCUGAGGCCUGGUAAACCGAGC
rnacentral:lncRNA from 1 species